rnacentral:tRNA from 1 species
AUUUUAAUAGCUUAUGAAAAAGUUUAAUAUUGAAGAUAUUAAGAAAGCAGCUUUGCUUUAAAGUACUU